UACGUAGGGUCCGAGCGUUGUCCGGAUUUAUUGGGCGUAAAGAGCUCGUAGGCGGCCAACUAAGUCAGACGUGAAAUCCCUCGGCUUAACCGGGGAACUGCGUCUGAUACUGGAUGGCUUGAAUCCGGGAGAGGGAUGCGGAAUUCCAGGUGUAGCGGUGAAAUGCGUAGAUAUCUGGAGGAACACCGGUGGCGAAGGCGGCAUCCUGGACCGGCAUUGACGCUGAGGAGCGAAAGCCAGGGGAGCAAACGGG
rnacentral:rRNA from 1 species